rnacentral:rRNA from 1 species
GAUGAACGCUGGCGGCGUGCCUAACACAUGCAAGUCGAACGGAGUAUUUAGCAAUAGAUACUUAGUGGCGAACGGGUGAGUAACGCGUAGACAACCUGCCUCUAAACUGGGGACAACACCGCGAAAGUGGUGCUAAUACCGGAUGUGGUAUCUUAGCUGCAUGGCUGAGAUAAGAAAGAUGGCCUCUAUUUAUAAGCUAUCGUUUAGAGAUGGGUCUGCGUCUGAUUAGCUAGUUGGUGAGGUAAAGACUCACCAAGGCGACGAUCAGUAGCCGGUCUGAGAGGAUGAACGGCCACACUGGGACUGAGACACGGCCCAGACUCCUACGGGAGGCAGCAGUGGGGAAUCUUCCGCAAUGGACGAAAGUCUGACGGAGCAACGCCGCGUGAGUGAAGAAGGCCUUCGGGUCGUAAAGCUCUGUCGUUUGGGACGAACGUGCUAAUUGUGAAUAAUGAUUAGUAAUGACGGUACCAAAGGAGGAAGCCACGGCUAACUACGUGCCAGCAGCCGCAGUAAAAC